rnacentral:rRNA from 1 species
CACCACAACAGGUGGAGCCUGCGGUUUAAUCGGACUCAACGCCGGGAAACUCACCAGAUAAGACAGCUGAAUGAUAGUCGGGCUGAAGACUCUACUUGACUAGCUGAGAGGAGGUGCAUGGCCGUCGUCAGUUCGUACUGUGAAGCAUCCUGUUAAGUCAGGCAACGAGCGAGACCCACGCCAACAGUUGCCAGCUCGUCCUCCGGGAUGGUGGGGACACUGUUGGGACCGCCUCUGCUAAAGAGGAGGAAGGAAUGGGCAACGGUAGGUCAGCAUGCCCCGAAUUAUCUGGGCUACACGCGGGCUACAAUGGGUGGGACAAUGGGUAUCGACACCGAAAGGUGAAGGCAAUCUCCUAAAUCCAUCCGUAGUUCGGAUUGUGGGCUGCAACUCGCCCACAUGAAGCUGGAAUCUGUAGUAAUCGUGUCUCAAAAUGGCACGGUGAAUAUGUCCCUGCUCCUU